rnacentral:sRNA from 1 species
GCCGGCACCGUGGCGCACGCCUGUAAUCCCAGCAGCCUGGGAGGCUGAGGCAAGAGGAUCGUGAGUUCAAAGCCAGCCUCAGCAAAAGCGAGGUGCUAAGCAACUCCGUGAGACCCUGUCUCUA